CGGCAUUUCUAUCUUCGCAGCGUCUUCUUCUAUAUGCGUUUUGCGUCCGCCUCUUUCGGUCGCCGUCGCCAGCCUCGCUUCGCCUAGGAAUCUCUGCAGAAGCAGCCUGUGCCCCACCUCGUCUCAGUGCGCCGCUUCACGCUCCAGCAUUUCCCGUCGUCAGGCCUCCUUCGACCUCGGCGCAGAACCAGCAUCAACGCCGCCCCCCAGCCAAACAGCCGGGCCAACAGCAGGUAAAUCACCUCUUUCUUCAAAUUAGACACCUCCGUUGCAAAUUAGAUCACAUUUCUCAUAUAUAUAGAGAUAUAUGGAUGAGUCUUUUCUGCCAUUAGCCAUCUUAUUAAUUUGGAUUAGUGCCGCAGGCUUCUCUAUUUCGUGAGAGGAGGAGGCAAGAGAGAAGAUAUAGUAGGUUUUGGAUAACAUCUGCAGACUUUGAGAGAAGGAAGAGAAGAGAAAGGCCUGCAGCAGCACCCGCUGCAAAUUUCCUCUAUUUCGCGAGUGAGAGAGAUAGAGGGAAAAGUCAUGGGUAAGAGAGCCAAGAGUUCAAGGAAGGGAAAGAAAGAAUGGAGGGCUAACAUAAGCACUGAAGAUAUAGAAGAUUAUUUUGAGAAAUCCACAAAAGACGCUCUUUCCGGUGGUUCUUUGGCUGAUGUGCCCAGUGAUUCUCUUUUCUUCGUUGAUAAAUCCAGAGGUAUAAGAAUCUUAAAAUUUUUAGAAGGUUGUGUUUAAUUGUACAUAUGAUACAGAAAAAUUCGAUGAUAUUCAAUUGAUUUUUUGAUAGGGUUUUAGAAAUUUAGUGAGAAAUUGAUACUUCUAGGUUAUGGAGUAUCACCGUUGAGAACUUUUAGUAUUCUUUUUUGGACGAAAGCAGCUCUAUGAAGUUAUGUACUGUUUCUUAAAGAAAACUAUGUUGGGACUGAAAGUUCUAAUCUGUGAAGUUAUAUAUUGUUUCUAAAAGAAGAGUAUUUUAAGAGUGGAAGUUGUAAUCUCCAAUGAGAUUGGUAGGAAGUCAUGAAUUGCUUUAAAAAAGUUGUCAGACUGAUAUUGGAUCCUGUAAUUGAUAGUUAGAGCUUUUCCUAUCCGAAACUAGUUAAUAUAUUCUUUUGUAUGAUGUGAUGGAGUUUUUCAUUUCUUGAAGGGGCCCAAUUCACUUGGGUUUUAUCUUAUUUCUUAACGAACUGUUUGGAUGUAUAAUAUGUAACUAGUGGCCAUGUUGCGAUCUUCUUGAGAAUCACGAUCAUUUUAACAAAAUGGAGAUUUUUAUUUGCAGAUCUUUCUAUUAAGCGGAAGAUUGAGAAAAACAGAGAGAAAGUAUUGCGAUGUGAUAGUCUGUUGCAGAGAAACCCUUUUAUUAAAGCUAUUCCGUCCUCUAUACAGAAUAAGAAAAAGUCCAAGAGAAAGGGUAAAGCUUUACCAACAGCAGCAGAUGAAAAUGUUGCACAGGGCAGCCUGAAGGUUAGUUUUCUUGGGAAAUUCUUUUAGAGUGAUUCUGCAAGUGAAUUAGUGAGGCUAAUUCUUAUAUUUCUAAUCCAAUCAUUUCAGGAUGAAAGUGCACAUGAUUCUGGAGUUCUUGACUUGUGGGAAGAGAAAGGUAACUCUAUGUGUGUGUAUGCAUAUUAAUACAUCCAUAUAGGUUGCUAUUUCUAUCGGCUGUGGUUUGCAACUACCAUUUGUUAUUUCUAAUAGAAUUUGCUAUUUCACUUUUGCAGGAGAAGUCAAGGCCAAAAUAAAAAAGGUAUAACAUAAUUUGUUGUGCACUUUUGGUUCUGCUUGUGUAACCAAUUAUAUUGUUCAAGGAAUCAUUAUUUGAUGAGUAUUGCAUGUUAGAGAUUCUGUAUAGUUUCUUAGCUGUCUCUGUACGCAUUAGUAACUUCUUGAAGUUAGUACUGAGUAAUGUAGUUCACUAGAACAUGAGAUUCUUUUAGAAUCUAUGGGGUUUAUUUAACAGUUAAUCAUGACAGAAGCCCAAGUCUUGCGUUAUUCCUGCUGUUGAGGUUGAACAUCCUGGAUGUUCAUUCAAUCCUCACCCUGAGAGCCAUCAGGUUGGUGUCAAUCUUUUACCUAUGCAAUUUCAUCAUUUUUCUUUCUAUUAAUGGUUGAACCUUACACUCUGUUAUAAUAGGACGCUUUAGCUCGUGCUGUUGCAGAUGAAAUGCAGAAAAUUUACCAACAUGAGUUGGGGCCUCAGCCCAUCCCUUUAGUUGUCCCUGGUGAAGCUAUUGAUGAAGAAUAUGUUCGUACCUCAUCCCGAACUGGUUACCUGAAGUUGAAAUGAAUAUUACCCCUCCAUAUUCACGUGCUUUCACUUACUUGCUUAUGAAGUUUUCAUGCAUUUCCCUCUUAUAUGCAUCAGAAAUAUUUUCUCGAGGCAGAUGCGGAUGAUGGAACUGAUGAGGAUGAUGAUGAACAAAGUGAAAAUCAGGCUGAUGAUGCAGAUGUGGAUGCAGAAAAAAGGUGAGCGUCUUUUCUUUUACUUGGUUUCUUUGAAUAAUCCAUUAUGUUUGUUUCCUUUUCUGCAAGGAUAAUUGGACAAGUAGCUUUGCUUUGUAAAAUUAUGGGUUCUGGUGUCUGGUGUGGUGUCCAUAUUGAGCAUCUAUCUUUUGGUGUUAGUGGAGUCAUUUUUCAGAGUUAAAUUGAUCCAUAUGAUAUUAAUUUUCUCAAUUUAAAUUGUCAAAGAAAGGUGAAUAUCACUAAUUGUGAUGGAAACUAUGCAGCUCUCAGAAAACCAAAAGGGUAACUCGGGUAGAGUUUAACCGGAGAGCUAGACGAAAGGAACAGUUGAGAAUUGAAGCAGAAGCCAAAAAAGUGAAGGGACUUUCAAAAGACAUAGACAGGUAAAAGAGAUCAUUUCUGCUAAUAUAUCUCCAAUCCAAGAUAGUUGUGCUUUACUCAAAAAGCACUAAAUUGGUUCUCUGCUGCAAAUAGUUUACCGGAAAUAAUGCAAGAAAUUGCGAAAGAGGAUGAAGAGAAACAUAAGAGACAUCUUCGGCGGAUUGUUGCUAAACAAGAAAGAUUGAAAGCUCGUCCAUCUCGCUUGGGAAAGUACAAGUAUGGCGUUAUAUAAGCAUUUUUAUGACGUUUUAUCUUCUAUGCAUGUGAAGUUCUGUUGAAAUAGGAAGCAACCACAACUACAUAGAUGAAAUGUUCUUGAUUAUUUUUACCUAUACUAAGGCAUUGAUCAUAUCCUUAUCUCUUAUCUUGCAUAUAUAUUUAUCAUAAGUUNGUUCGGAAUUAUAUGAUACUCACAAUUCAAUUAUGAUUUUUCAAACUCCAUAUAAAAUUAUGGUCAAAAAGCAAAAUAAAAAAAUUGAACAAAAUUAAUAAAUCUUGUAACAACAAAUGGAACAAAUCAAUCCUCCAUCAUACCUAUGUCAAAUUUAUAUGUAUUUCUACUCUUUUUUUUUUCUUACGCGUCAACUUUUUAUAAAAAUUUCAUAUGAAAACUAAUGGGUAUUUUUAUGAUCUCAACAAAAUUAAUAAUUUAAUUGCUAAAAGUUGUUGAGAUUAAUAUAAUUUAAAAUGUAUUACUUAAUUUAAUUUAAUUAAUUAUAUAAAUAAUUUACAUAAAAAAUUAUUUUAUAUAAUUAUCAUAAGAAUAACAUAAAAUAUAUAAAUUACAAAAAAAUAUGUACCCGUCGAAACUUCGACGGGUAAUACACUAGUACUCGUGUAAUACUAACUGGAAAACCUCAUUCACCAUAGAAAAAAAGUAAAUUUCAUAGACCCAACGUAAAAGGAAAGUCAUCUUCAGUUAAUCGGUCAUCUCAUAUGUAUCAAAAUAUUUUUUUUUUCACCAUUUAUUUGAUAUUGUGAAAAGGGGGUAUGCUUAUGAAUUAAGUAAUACAAUAAAUUCUAGUAUCGAAAUUUUAAUUUUCAAACGCGGAGUAUAAUUUUAUGAAGACAAAAAUAACAAUUUUACUAAGCAUAAGAAAUAAUUACUAUAUUUUUCUAACCCAAAACAAGUGUAUGGCCCAAGCCCAAUACUUUAUGGGUUAGAAACCCUUUUCAAAAGCGGCAUUUCUAUCUUCGCAGCGUCUUCUUCUAUAUGCAUUUUGCGUCCGCCUCUUUCGGUCGCCGUCGCCAGCCUCGCUUCGCCUAGGAAUCUCUGCAGAAGCAGCCUGUGCCCCACCUCGUCUCAGUGCGCCGCUUCACGCUCCAGCAUUUCCCGUCGUCAGGCCUCCUCCAACCUCGGCGCAGAACCAGCAUCAACGCCACCCCCCAGCCAAACAGCCGGGCCAACAGCAGG
rnacentral:lncRNA from 1 species